rnacentral:rRNA from 1 species
UCGGGAAUAUUGCGCAAUGGAGGAAACUCUGACGCAGUGACGCCGCGUAUAGGAAGAAGGUUUUCGGAUUGUAAACUAUUGUCGUUAGGGAAGAAAAAAGACAGUACCUAAGGAGGAAGCUCCGGCUAACUACGUGCCAGCAGCCGCGGUAAUACGUAGGGAGCGAGCGUUAUCCGGAUUUAUUGGGUGUAAAGGGUGCGUAGACGGGUAAGCAAGUUAGUUGUGAAAUCCCUCGGCUUAACUGAGGAACUGCAACUAAAACUGCAUAUCUUGAGUGCAGGAGAGGUAAGUGGAAUUCCUAGUGUAGCGGUGAAAUGCGUAGAUAUUAGGAGGAACACCAGUGGCGAAGGCGACUUACUGGACUGUAACUGACGUUGAGGCACGAAAGUGUGGGGAGCAAACAGG